GGGGAUUUAGCUCAGUGGUAGAGCGCUUGCCUAGGAAGCGCAAGGCCCUGGGUUCGGUCCCCAGCCCCCA
rnacentral:tRNA from 1 species